rnacentral:misc_RNA from 1 species
AAAUCAUUGCAUUCCAAGAAAUUACAUUCUUCACUGGCAUCUGGUCAAAAUUUUGACGAGCCAAUUCGACAAGCCCAUGUUUAGCAUAUGCGCUAACCAUUGAAGUCCAAGACACCACAUUUUUAUCAGGCAUCCGCUCAAAAACUCUUUCAGCUGAUUGCAAAUGCCCACACUUAGAAUACAUAUCUAGAAGAGCGUUUCUCACAAUUAAAUCUAUCUCCAUCCCCGUUUUCUCAAUAUACAAAUGCACAAACUUGCCAAGAACUAUAUCACAGCUCUGUGAACAGAUCGAAAGCAAGUUAACCAAAGUAAAUUCAUCAGGCUCCACCCCCACUCCUCUCAUCUCUUUAAGCAAUAAAAACGAUUCUUUACACCAACCCACUUUGGCGUACCCACCAAUCAUCGAAUUCCAAGAAACCAAAGUCCUAUCAGAUAUAUCAUCAAACAUUUCGCGGGCAUACUGGAUAAACCCACAGGCAAAGUACGCAUUUAUCAGGCCGUUUUGCACACAAAUAUGAGACCCAAUACCCAGUUUUUGAGCGUGGCCGUGGACAAGUACGGAUACCCAAUAAUCCGAUUUGGAAGCACAUGCUUUAAGUACAAAAGGGAGAGUGAAUUCAUUUGGAGAAAGGCCAGAAUCAAUCAUUUGGCGAUACAAUAAUAUGGACUUUAUGGGAUCAUUACUACUAGAGUAACCCCUUAUUAGACUAUUGUACAUGAAUUUAUUGGGCUCAGGAAUUUGGUUAAAUAAAAGUUGGCCGUAGUCCAGAUUGCCAGCAUCAGCAACAGCGCAGAAAGAGAUUAACUUGCCGAGAGUGAGAGUCUCAUUGUUGAGGCCAUUAAGGAUGAUUUGGGCAUGGAUUGGCUUUAGUUCUUUCAUGGAGGAGCAUUUGAGUAGCAUUGAAUGAAGAGUUUGGUGAGUUUGAGACUUGAAUUGAUGGAAUGAGCUGACGGUGUGGUUAAGGCGGGAACCAAGGGUAAAAUAUUUGAAAGGGAAGAACAUGGCAGUUGGGCAUUGGUUACGAAAACAAACCGCCAAUCUAUGUUGGGAACCUUUUUAUUGAGAAAUUAUAAAAUCUAUUUAGAUUAGAUUGUAGAGAAAGGUUUGCAUUUAGC